UACAGAGGUCUCGAGCGUUGUUCGGAUUCAUUGGGCGUAAAGGGCGCGUAGGCGGCGGGGUAAGUCUGGUGUGAAAUCUCGGAGCUCAACUCCGAAAUUGCACUGGAUACUGCUCUGCUAGAGGGCUGGAGAGGAGAUCGGAAUUCACGGUGUAGCAGUGAAAUGCGUAGAUAUCGUGAGGAAGACCAGUGGCGAAGGCGGAUCUCUGGACAGCUCCUGACGCUGAGGCGCGAAGGCUAGGGGAGCAAACGGGG
rnacentral:rRNA from 1 species